UUGGGAAGGCAAAAUAAGGCAAAAGUGCCUCCCUUGCCCCCUUGAGGAAACUGGUAGACUUUCUGAGUAAUAAAAAUACAAAUACGCACACACACACACACACACACACACACACACACACACACACACACACACACACACACACACACACACACACACACACACACACACACACACACACACACACACACACAUAUAUAUAUAUACACAGUGUUGGGGUAAAGAUGGGUGUUCUGAGGAACCUCAUUUGGGCUCUGCCUGAACUGGCCCACCUUUCUUCUACAUGGGCUCAGGCUGGCCCAACGAAAGCUACUUGUGGUGAUACAUGAAACAUGGGGUGCAGGGAGCUAGCCCUUUAGUGUUCUUUGGCCCCUGGUGGUGGUAAUUUUGUCAGAGUUCCUAUUUUUAUUUUCUGUGCUUGGAAAUGCAUCCUCCUUCCAUGCUUCACUGAACAGCUCAUUCCUUUGAACUUCAGGUGCCAGACGUCUUUGAUACGGAGUAUGUGUCUUCUCAGCUAAGACAUUCUGCGAUUUUGGAGGCCAUAUGCCUCAGGAAAGAAGGCUACCCAAUCCGCAUCCCAUUCCGCCAUUUUCUAAUCAGGUGUUCUUGAAAGAGAAAGCCAGGCGGAUGUUAGAGAGGCGAUGGAACCAAAAACUGAGCUGGGCCAUUGUUACCCUUCAGCGCAAUCUGCGAGGCCUCAUUAAUCGCAGGCGGUUCCAGGUCUUCCAGAAGAAGGUCACAGUCAUUCAGGCUUAUUUCCGGGGCCACCUGGCAAGGAAACGCUACCAAAGACUGAAGAGGACCUUGGUGCAAUUCAGGGUGGCCAUGCUCAUCUCUAGGCCACUGAUUCAUAGAAGGAGGCAUUACUACCAGGUAAAUGGUGCUGCUGAUAGUUUGGUGAACUCCAUGAGAAGGAUGCUUUCUGCUCUAAGGUUUUGUUGAGAAGCAGCAAGGCAAGUAAUAAUUAACUCUUGCAGUAACGAAGGAUGGGAUGAGAUUUUUAGACCAGCCCCAUCAAGUGCAUACAGAUAGUUGGUGGCUAUAGGAAAUAAGAAUAUUUCAUCACCAUUGGCUUGUCCUAUGUUGGGUCAGAGACUUCCAGACACUUGUGAUAAGAGGAGAACUGAUGGAAGGAAAGCAACUCAAUUUAUUGCCGAUCAUUAGCUAGACCCAUUCAAUGCAUUGUUUAAUGAAUUGGGUAGAUUUGAGGUGGUAGGACUGUGGAUAUAGGUUUUUAUAUGUAGACACCAGAACUUUGAAUUGACCUGAAGAGCAAAUAAGGACCCGGUGUAACUCCUUUAGAGUGCCUGCAAUGUGGUUCUGCCUGUCUGUACCAGAUAGAAUAUUAGAUACGGUAUAUUAUGCAAGCUAAGAGCUUCUGGGUUGGUUGUUGUGGGCUUUUCAGGCUGUUUGGCUGUGUUCUGGAGAUUGCUUUUCCUUACAUUUCACCAGUCUCUGUGGCCGGCAUCUUCGGAGGACAGGAGCUAGAACUGUGUGUUCUGGUGGCUUCUGGGCUGUCUUCAAGGGCAGCACCACAAACAAUACAUUACAGUAACCUGUCCUGGAGGUUAUCUGAUAAU
rnacentral:lncRNA from 1 species